UACGAAGGGGGCUAGCGUUGCUCGGAAUUACUGGGCGUAAAGCGCACGUAGGCGGACCAGAAAGUUGGAGGUGAAAUCCCAGGGCUCAACCUUGGAACUGCCUUCAAAACUAUUGGUCUGGAGUUCGAGAGAGGUGAGUGGAAUUCCGAGUGUAGAGGUGAAAUUCGUAGAUAUUAGGAAGAACACCAGUGGCGAAGGCGGCCAACUGGCCCGAUACUGACGCUCAUGUGCGAAAGCGUGGGGAAGCAAA
rnacentral:rRNA from 1 species